rnacentral:rRNA from 1 species
GUGAGAUGAACGCUGGCGGCAGGCCUAACACAUGCAAGUCGAACGGUAACAGGAAGAAGCUUGCUUCUUUGCUGACGAGUGGCGGACGGGUGAGUAAUGUCUGGGAAACUGCCUGAUGGAGGGGGAUAACUACUGGAAACGGUAGCUAAUACCGCAUAACGUCGCAAGACCAAAGAGGGGGACCUUCGGGCCUCUUGCCAUCGGAUGUGCCCAGAUGGGAUUAGCUUGUUGGUGGGGUAACGGCUCACCAAGGCGACGAUCCCUAGCUGGUCUGAGAGGAUGACCAGCCACACUGGAACUGAGACACGGUCCAGACUCCUACGGGAGGCAGCAGUGGGGAAUAUUGCACAAUGGGCGCAAGCCUGAUGCAGCCAUGCCGCGUGUAUGAAGAAGGCCUUCGGGUUGUAAAGUACUUUCAGCGGGGAGGAAGGGAGUAAAGUUAAUACCUUUGCUCAUUGACGUUACCCGCAGAAGAAGCACCGGCUAACUCCGUGCCAGCAGCCGCGGUAAUACGGAGGGUGCAAGCGUUAAUCGGAAUUACUGGGCGUAAAGCGCACGCAGGCGGUUUGUUAAGUCAGAUGUGAAAUCCCCGGGCUCAACCUGGGAACUGCAUCUGAUACUGGCAAGCUUGAGUCUCGUAGAGGGGGGUAGAAUUCCAGGUGUAGCGGUGAAAUGCGUAGAGAUCUGGAGGAAUACCGGUGGCGAAGGCGGCCCCCUGGACGAAGACUGACGCUCAGGUGCGAAAGCGUGG